AUUGAACGCUGGCGGCAUGAUUUACACAUGCAAGUCGAACGGUAACAGGCCGCAAGGUGCUGACGAGUGGCGAACGGGUGAGUAAUGCAUCGGAACGUGCCCAGUCGUGGGGGAUAACGCAGCGAAAGCUGCGCUAAUACCGCAUACGAUCUAUGGAUGAAAGCGGGGGACCGUAAGGCCUCGCGCGAUUGGAGCGGCCGAUGUCAGAUUAGGUAGUUGGUGGGGUAAAGGCUCACCAAGCCAACGAUCUGUAGCUGGUCUGAGAGGACGACCAGCCACACUGGGACUGAGACACGGCCCAGACUCCUACGGGAGGCAGCAGUGGGGAAUUUUGGACAAUGGGCGCAAGCCUGAUCCAGCAAUGCCGCGUGCAGGAAGAAGGCCUUCGGGUUGUAAACUGCUUUUGUACGGAACGAAACGGCUCUGGUUAAUACCUGGGGCUAAUGACGGUACCGUAAGAAUAAGCACCGGCUAACUACGUGCCAGCCGCCGCGGUAAUAC
rnacentral:rRNA from 1 species